CUGUGCACUCUGUGCACCGAUCAGUAACGAGUGGGGACAUGGAGAAACUUGUUUCACGCCAUUUGCCAAGAAUCUACACUGUCCAGCCUUGUGGCCUGACAUACCUUGAGGCCUGAUGUCUGGGGGAGGCAGGACACAAUAUUCUGUGCAAAUUGGCCCAACAUACGCAGGAGCCUGACACAAGGGAGCAGAGCGAUGAAACACCCCUGACGGGCCGCGAUGGGCACAAAAUGGCCGCCAGACCAUUUACCCGCUGCAGUCUAGGUUCUGCCUCCCCUAAUGCCCCUCGGACCCACAUUAAAGUUGGAAUUGCCCUUUCG